rnacentral:snoRNA from 1 species
GUCUUGGUGAAGAUCUCUAGACCAGGAAGUGCCGUAUGACACUGUAAACAGCAGCUGCUUCUCUGCCGCUGUAAGUGUCCAUCUGGUCUCUGACGGAC